UUUGUUACAGAUUCUGCCUAAAUAUGUAAGACUCCUUUACCAUGAAAGAUGCUUCCAUUGCAGAUAGCACAUUAGGAUUAGUCACAUAUACACCCUAAAUAUGUAAGACUCCUAUACCAUGAAAGAUGCUUCCAUUGCAGAUGCACAUUAGGAUAAAUCACAUAUUAUACAGCCUUAAUAUGUAACACUCCUAUACCAUGAAAGAUGCUUUCACACAUUAGGAUGUUGCACAUAUACAUCUAAAUAUGUUGCACUCCUAGACAGAGAAGAUGGAUUCAUGGCAGAUAGGAAGAGUCAACAUAUACAGCCCAGAUAUGUUCCACUCCUACCCAAUGAAUAUGGUUUCAUGGUAGAUAGGAAGAGUCAACAUAUACAGCCCAGAUAUGUUCCACUCCUACCCAAUGAAUAUGGUUUCAUGGUAGAUAGGAAGAGUCAACAUAUACAGCCCAGAUAUGUUCCACUCCUACCCAAUGAAUAUGGUUUCAUGGUAGAUGCACAUUAGGAUGUUUAACAUAUACAGCCGAAAUAUGUUACACUCCUAGACAAUGAAGAUGGUUUCAUGGUAGAUUGAUCACACAUCUGGAUACGUAGCAUAUAACGCCUAAAUAUGUUACACUCUUCGACAAUGAAAAUGGUUUCAUUGUAGAUAGCACAUUAGGAUUAGUCACAUAUGCAACUUAUAUGAUGUUUCAGUAGUAGAAGGUGCAGCAUGGCAGCAGAAGAUGUUAAAUUGAGAAUCGUGAAGAGACAGUUUAAUUCUUUAGAGAAUAAAUAAGAUUAUAGUUUAUAGAUGAAGAUUAUAAAAAUCUUUAAUGUUCAAAAUAUCAGAUGAGAAUUUGCCAAGUGCCCUCAAUAUGGCUACAAUGAUAUAACAAUCAUAAUUAAAAAUGUAUUGUAAACCUCUUUUUCAAUAUUCAUAUUAAAGAAAGUAGAUUGUCAAUUUAGAUAUUUACUUAUUUACCUGAAUUUUUUAUUAAGUAAUUUGGACAAUAUGACUUUAUUUAGAUUUUUUGAAAUUCAAGUUCAAAAUGUAUAUACAUCAGAUAGUUUUGGUUUGCCAGCAACUUCCAUUGUAUAGCCAAAAGAUCAAUUGUUGGUUGUAAUUAAGGCCAGCUCUAAAUAAGAUCUUAAAAUAGAAACUAUCUUCAAAUUUGACAAGUUACCAUAUCUACAUAUGAAUAAAUUAGAAUAGUCUGUAAAUAUUCUGUAUUUUCCUUUUUGCAUCAUCUUUUGAGUAACCAAAUCAGAACACCCAGUUUGGUGAAAUACUUUUUCCUGUUGUAUCUAUCAUUGCUUUUGUAAGAUAAAAACAAAAAUGUAUAUGCAGUUUUGUUAAAUAUAUAUAAAUUAAAAAUUAAAAAAAAAAUCAAAUUCAAAUUAACACAAACAAAAUUGACUUUAACUUAUGGUUUAGUUCAUGCACCCUUUAAUGUAUAUCUUAAAAGUUUUGUUGUGGACUAAGCAAAUAUCAAAUUAUCAUUUCAGAAGUACAUUUUGCUUGCAUGGUAUCAUCUUCACUAACAUUUAACAUAGUGGGUUUCGGAGUUACUGAGGUAGUUCUUAUUGAGGUGUUUCUUGUUUUUUUCUAUGGAGGAAUCAGUGGUUUCUAUGUCUUCAGGAUAUGGUUUUGUCAUUCAAAGGGAACUGUCAAUGUAAUUCUGAAAUGAUAUACAUUUGGUAUUUUAUUGUCAUUGAAAAAGAAACAGUAUCAGUGCAUGAACAUUUGAACUGUGAAUAUAUAAUAUUUAAACUUUAUAAUUUAUAAUUUUUAAAUCGAUUUUGGAAAGUUAUUGUAUCAAAAUUAAAUUGUAUUUGACACAGUUUGAUGGAUGGAAAUUGAAAAUUAGAAAAACUUGGAAAACAAAAUUCCAAAUAUAAAUUUCUGCUUCAUUAAAACAUUUGGUUAAAUGGAUCUGCAAAAUCACUGAUAGCUAACAUGGUUAAUCCACUUAAUUAGAUAGUGUCGUUAAGUAUAGUCUAAUGGAUCCUGUUGAUAUCCUUUUAAAAGUAUUAAUGUAUUAUAAAUUAUAUUCCUAAAUCUAACAUGUCAGACGCGAGAGACCCCCCCUUUGUUAUAGAGGGAUCGCCCUUGCAUCAGUGUCUUACAAAUUGUACUGUAAUAUACUGAACUAUAGAUUAGCUCAGUGGGUAGAUGAUAACAAUGUACUGGUUGAGGAACAGAAUGGUUUAUGACAACUUUGUAGUACAAUAGACCAAUUAUCUACUCUUACUAAUUUGAUAAAUGUGAGAAAAACACUUCCUAAAUUAAUCUUUUGCGCCUUUAUAUUGAUUUUAAAAAGGCUUACGACACUACACAGAGAUAUUUUAUGGUAUAAACUAGAUAAAAUUGGUGUUGCACAGACUUUUUGUUCUGCUAUUAAGUCAAUUUAUACAAAUGUUCUGUAAGAAUAAACGAUCAUUUCACAGACUGGUUUGAUGUAAACACUGGCUUGAAACAAGGAUGUCCCUUGUCGCUCAUUUUGUUCAACUUGUAUAUUAAUGAUUGAGUAACAUUUCUUAAGUCCUUUGACUGCGGAAUAGAUAUUGGUGAUGAAAAACUGUAUUUUAUUAUAUGCUGAUGAUGUUAUUAUAGCAAACGAUGAAAAAGAGCUACAACUUUUGGUAAAUGCUUUUUCUACAUGAUUUGAAGACAAUUGUAUGACAAUUAAUACAAACAAGAGUAACAUUGUACAAUUUAGACCACCAUCUAUACCUAGAUAUGAUGUAAUUUUUAAUUGUAAUGGUCAUACUAUAAAGUCUUCUAGUAAUGAUACUUGGUCUCAUUUUAAACAAGCAUUUAGACUAUAAUAUCACUGCAAAAGCCGUUGCAUCUUCAGCAAAUAGAACUUUAAGGAUGGUAAUAGCCAAGUGUAAACUUUAAGGGGGUGUCUGUUUCGAUGUAUUUGUAAAAUUAUAUGAAAGUUUGGUUUGUCCUAUAAUAGAAUAUGAAAAGGUAUAUGGGGUGUAAAAAGAUAUUCUUGUAUAAAUUCCAUACAUAAUGGGGCCUGUAGAUUUUCUAGAAGUAGAAAAAUAUGCACCAAAUGCUGCAGUUACUGGAGACUUGGGUAUUAUUGUAUUAUACGUUGAUAAUUUUAUUUUAAAUUGCAUUUUGAUUUGUCAAUACACACGUUUUAAGGUGUAGGUCAGCACCUGACCCUGGAGACGGGAUUGCGCACUUGGCAUCCACUGACACAGGUUUCUAGAGCUUUUUGAUCGAUUAUAUCGUUUUUUAUCUCUAGUUGUUCCUGGCCGGCCUUGACUGUCUAUGAAGGGGUGCAUUUAGUCAAAAGUUGGUUUUGGUGUAUUUGGAAAAUCAUGGAAGUAUUAUAUUUUACUUCCAUGGGAUAAUAUAUACAUAGGAAUUGUAUGAUUUUGAAUUAUAUAUACAUAAUUUGUGAAUAUUUAUAAUACAAUCUGGCGUCCAUCGAGCAUGACGGGCUGUCGGAAAACUAAGAUUAUGUUUGCAUUGUUUAUAUUUGGCACAAGUAUGUAGUUAAUACCACCUAUUUUUGAUAAGCAGUGGAAAAUUAUCUGAACUGAAUUCAAGUCAUUUAUCGUGUCCUGAAAAUAUGGACACAAAUUAUGUUGUUAAACUUUUAAUGUCAAAAUGCAUUUCAUUCACAGAAGUGCUUUUCUCAAAUUUAGAUGUGGUGUUGCUCCACUAAGGAUUUAAACUGGGAAAUAUGAAAAUUAUUGUUUUAGCGUGGGCCAUAUAUGUUAUAGUUUCAUUGAAGACGAAGCUUAUGUUUUAUUAAGAUGUCCUCUUUAUGAAGAUUUUAGAUGAUAACCAAAAGUUAGUGUUUUUAUUCUCAGAUGUGUUAUUCUCAGAUGUAAAUAUGAUACAUGUGUGUUCCAAAACCUGUUAUUUGAAUUUAAAAAGGUGUUGAAAUUUUAUAUAUGGUAAAUACAUGUAGUACUUUAUUUCAUAUUGUUUAAUGUAUUAUAUCUAUGCAUUUUAAUAGUCUUAUAAUUCUGUAUAGAAUGGCUCAUUUUAUUUAGUAUUGUUUUACAAUGUAUAAAUAUCGAUUGUAAUUGUCGAGAGAGGAGACAGUCAUAAAACAUUGAAUUAAUUGAAUUGAGUUUGUUAGUAUUACAAUCAAUAUUUGUGUAUGCCUCGCACAAAAAUGUGCAAGCAGGGCCGUACUGGACAUUUUCAGUUAUCAAGGGUUUUUUUUUUUAUAACAAACACAGAGAUCUGGUAUCCAGGAAAUUAAAAUGAAUCAACAAUACUUUCAUGUAUUUUGUACAAUAAUAUUUUUUCUAAUUACACCUUGCUCAUGAUGCAGAUCUGUCUUCAUCUAAUACUAUGAUGAUGUACUACAGUGGCAUAAAAGUAGUUACGAUAGGUUUAGGAAGUGUCAUUUUGGUAUUUAUCAUGAUGCAUUAGAAUUAAAUUUCCCCAUGUUUCAAGGAAUAACAUUGAAAAAUAAUUUAUAGCCAACACUUCUGGCCAGCAGUCUGUUUUGAAUAAUAAGGAUUUCUUUAAAACUGUUCAAGUAUACCUCCUUUGACAAUCUUCCUAGCAUUGGGUAUUGGAAUUUUUCAAUUUUUUACCAACUACAUUUUCAGUUUUUAGUUGGUUGUUCCAUGUCGGCGGGGUCGUCGAUGAUAGAAUUUUUGCCAUUAUUUGAUAUUUCACAUAAAAUACAAAGAGCAUUUCAUCAAUUAUAAUUGCUACGAUUUUCUUUAUGUAUUUAUGCUUAUCCAUGUAUGCAUGUUUAUUGUUUUAAUGAAGAUAAAAUCCGAUGUCCAGUUUAUCGGCAAUAUGAA